GUGUAUUAGAUACCCUGGUAGUCCACGCCCUAAACGAUGUCAACUGGUUGUUGGGUCUUCACUGACUCAGUAACGAAGCUAACGCGUGAAGUUGACCGCCUGGGGAGUACGGCCGCAAGGUUAAAACUCAAAGGAAUUGACGGGGACCCGCACAAGCGGUGGAUGAUGUGGUUUAAUUCGAUGCUACGCGAAAAACCUUACCCACCUUUGACAUGGCAGAAAUCCUUUAGAGAUAGAGGAGUGCUCGAAAGAGAAUCUGCACACAGGUGCUGCACGGCUGUCGCCAGCU
rnacentral:rRNA from 1 species